rnacentral:rRNA from 1 species
GGAAUAUUGGUCAAUGGAGGCAACUCUGAACCAGCCAUGCCGCGUGCAGGAAGACUGCCCUAUGGGUUGUAAACUGCUUUUAUCUGGGAAUAAACCUCAUUACGUGUAAUGAGCUGAACGUACCAGAAGAAUAAGGAUCGGCUAACUCCGUGCCAGCAGCCGCGGUAAUACGGAGGAUCCAAGCGUUAUCCGGAUUUAUUGGGUUUAAAGGGUGCGUAGGCGGCCAAUUAAGUCAGAGGUGAAAGACGGUAGCUCAACUAUCGCAGUGCCUUUGAUACUGAUUGGCUUGAAUGAACUAGAGGUAGGCGGAAUGAGACAAGUAGCGGUGAAAUGCAUAGAUAUGUCUCAGAACACCGAUUGCGAAGGCAGCUUACUAUGGUUCUAUUGACGCUGAGGCACGAAAGCGUGGGGAUCAAACAGGAUUAGAUACCCGUG